GCCCAUGUAGCUUAAUGGAAGAGCACUGUUUCAUUCUUGCAGGAGGAGUCGGUUCAAGUCCGGCCAGGGCG
rnacentral:tRNA from 1 species